AGUGAACGCUGGCGGUAGGCCUAACACAUGCAAGUCGAACGGCAGCACAGUAAGAGCUUGCUCUUACGGGUGGCGCGUGGCGGACGGGGGAGGAAUACAUCGGAAUCUACUUUUUCGUGGGUGAUAACGUAGGGAAACUUACGCUAAUACCGCAUACGACCUACGGGUGAAAGCAGGGGAUCUUCGGACCUGGCGGUAUUGUAGGAGCCGAUCGCGGAUUAGCUAGUUGGCAGGGUAAAGGCCCACCAAGGCGACGAUCCGUAGCUGGUCUGAGAGGAUGAGCAGAGACACUGGGGCUGGGACACAGCCCGGAUUCCGACGGGAGGCAGCAGUGGGGAAUAUUGGACAAUGGAGGAAAGCCUGAUCAAGCAAAGCCGCGUGAGUGAUGGAGGCCUUAGGGUUAUAAAGCUCAGUUACCCGGGAUGAUAAGGACGGUACCGGAAGAAUAAGCUCAGGCUAACUCCGUG
rnacentral:rRNA from 1 species